GAUGAACGCUGGCGGCGUGCCUAAUACAUGCAAGUCGAGCGAACAGACGAGGAGCUUGCUCCUCUGACGUUAGCGGCGGACGGGUGAGUAACACGUGGAUAACCUACCUAUAAGACUGGGAUAACUUCGGGAAACCGGAGCUAAUACCGGAUAAUAUAUUGAACCGCAUGGUUCAAUAGUGAAAGACGGUUUUGCUGUCACUUAUAGAUGGAUCCGCGCCGCAUUAGCUAGUUGGUAAGGUAACGGCUUACCAAGGCAACGAUGCGUAGCCGACCUGAGAGGGUGAUCGGCCACACUGGAACUGAGACACGGUCCAGACUCCUACGGGAGGCAGCAGUAGGGAAUCUUCCGCAAUGGGCGAAAGCUUGACGGAGCAACGCCGCGUGAGUGAUGAAGGGCUUCGGAUCGUAAAACUCUGUUAUUAGGGAAGAACAAAUGUGUAAGUAACUAUGCACGUCUUGACGGUACCCAAUCAGAAAGCCACGGCUAACUACGU
rnacentral:rRNA from 1 species